rnacentral:rRNA from 1 species
AUGAAAGAGCUCAGGGCCAAAGUGGACGAUGUCAGCCAGAGGAACAUACGCUACCAGCUCAUCAAGGGCUCGUCAGCUGCUUCUUCUUCCCCCUCCAAGCAGCUAACAGCUGAAAAAUCUGCAACGGCGUCGGUGUUUGGCAUCCAUGGUGCCGCCGAGCAGCACAACGAAUCAAACAUGGAUCUUGCCCAGCUCCUCAUGGUCAGCUGCAAGGAUGAAAAUAAUGACCUUGGGCUUGGGGUGAUCGCCGUGUGGGGAACGAGUGAUGAUCUCGGGCAGACAUCCAUCAUCAGUGAAGUCUACGAGAAUCCAAAUGUCACAACCAAAUUCCCAUGCCGAGCUUGGGUCAGGCUGACACAUCCUUUUGAUGCAAAGGACUUCGUCCACAGCUUAGUUCAGCAGUUCCAUCAUACAACAAAUGAUGCACGAGAAGAUGGACGAGAAGAUGCCGCAACAGCUGGCUCAGGAGUUUUAUGGUUAUGUGAAGCGGAAGAGAUAUCUGGUUGUGGUCAAUGA